rnacentral:rRNA from 1 species
GACGAACGCUGGCGGCGUGCUUAACACAUGCAAGUCGAACGGGAACCUUUAUUUCGGUAAGGGUGAGAGUGGCAAACGGGUGAGUAUCACGUAGGCAACCUGCCGACAGGAUGGGGACAACAUUCCGAAAGGAGUGCUAAUACCGAAUGGAGUCCGGGGAUGGCAUCAUCCCCGGAUAAAAGAUGGCCUCUGAAUAUGCUAUCGCCUGUCGAUGGGCCUGCGUCUGAUUAGCCAGUUGGCGGGGUAACGGCCCACCAAAGCGACGAUCAGUAGCCGGUCUGAGAGGAUGAACGGCCACAUUGGGACUGAGACACGGCCCAGACUCCUACGGGAGGCAGCAGUGGGGAAUCUUCCACAAUGGGCGAAAGCCUGAUGGAGCAACGCCGCGUGAGUGAAGAAGGUCUUCGGAUCGUAAAGCUCUGUUGCACGGGACGAAAACCGGGUUUGAGAAUAUUGAACCCGGGUGACGGUACCGAGUGAGGAAGCCACGG